AGUAUCGGCUCUUUUUGUUUUUUUGUUCUGUAUUCCAAUAACAAACAAUAUAUAUUAUUUUUAAUUGUACAGGUUUACCUACAACCGACCGAUAUACGGCUGCAGGUAUACCUACUGUUUAUGCAGACUUAAAAUAAAUUAAAGUUUAUAUUAAUUAUUUGUCUUGGAAACUUUAUCACCCCGCCGCUGUAGAUAUAGACGUAUACGCAAAUUCAAUUUCCACUUGAAAAUAAUCG